rnacentral:rRNA from 1 species
UACGGGGGGAGCAAGCGUUGUUCGGAUUUACUGGGCGUAAAGGGUGCGUAGGCGGCGUGACAAGUCACUUGUGAAAUCUCCGGGCUUAACUCGGAACGGUCAAGUGAUACUGUCGUGCUAGAGUGCGGAAGGGGCUACUGGAAUUCUCGGUGUAGCGGUGAAAUGCGCAGAUAUCAGGAAGAACACCCGUGGCGAAGGCGGCUCUCUGGGACGGUACUGACGCUGAGACGCGAAAGCGUGGGGAGCGAACAGG